rnacentral:rRNA from 1 species
AUUGAACGCUGGCGGCAGGCCUAACACAUGCAAGUCGAACGAGUGGCGGACGGGUGAGUAAUGUCUGGGAAACUGCCCGAUGGAGGGGGAUAACUACUGGAAACGGUAGCUAAUACCGCAUACCAUCGGAUGUGCCCAUAUGGGAUUAGCUUGUAGGUGAGGUAACGGCUCACCUAGGCGACGCUCACUAGCUGGUCUGAGAGGAUGACCAGCAACACUGGAACUGAGACACGGUCCGGACACAUACGAGAGGAAGCAGUGGGGAAGAUGGCACAAGGGGCGCAAGCCUGAUGCAGCCAUGCAGAGUGUAUGAAGAAGGCCUUCGGGUUGGAAAGUACUUGCAGCGGGGAGGCGUUACCCGAAGAAGAAGAACCGGAUAACGACGUGCCAGCAGCCGCGGUAAUAC